rnacentral:rRNA from 1 species
GAUGAACGCUGGCGGCGUGCUUAACACAUGCAAGUCGAACGAAGCAUUUAGAACAGAUUAUUUCGGUAUGAAGUUCUUUAUGACUGAGUGGCGGACGGGUGAGUAACGCGUGGGUAACCUGCCUUGUACUGGGGGAUAGCAGCUGGAAACGGCUGGUAGUACCGCAUAAGCGCACGGUGCUGCAUGGCACAGUGUGAAAAACUCCGGUGGUAUAAGAUGGACCCGCGUCUGAUUAGCUAGUUGGUGAGAUAACAGCCCACCAAGGCGACGAUCAGUAGCCUACGUGAGAGCGGGACCGGCAACAUUGGGACUUAGACACGGCCCAGACUCCUACGGGGGGCAGCAGUGGGCAAUAUUGCACAAUGGAGGAAACUCUGAUGCAGCAACGCCACGUGAGUGAAGAAGUAAUUCGUUAUGUAAAGCACUAUCAGCAGAGAAGAUAGUGACGGUACCUGACUAAGAAGCUCCGGCUAAAUACGUGCCAGCCGCCGCCGUAA